rnacentral:rRNA from 1 species
UACGGAGGGGGCUAGCGUUGUUCGGAAUUACUGGGCGUAAAGCGCACGUAGGCGGCUAUUUAAGUCAGAGGUGAAAGCCCGGAGCUCAACUCCGGAACUGCCUUUGAGACUGGAUAGCUAGAAUCUUGGAGAGGCGAGUGGAAUUCCGAGUGUAGAGGUGAAAUUCGUAGAUAUUCGGAAGAACACCAGUGGCGAAGGCGGCUCGCUGGACAAGUAUUGACGCUGAGGUGCGAAAGCGUGGGGAGCAAAC